AAGGUGUUGACAUCUCGGGCUCGUUAGGUGGCGCCGAGGGAGGCCUUUAAAGCCGCACCGCACCAAAUCCUCCCCAACCCCGGGGGGAGAGCGUCCGGAUCGGCGAGGGAGGCCGGCGAUGGAGUGGUGGCAGCGGAUGCUCGUGCCGGUGAAGCGAGCGCUCGUCGCCCUCGCCGUCGCCGCCCGCAUGAGGGCCCGGAAACACGGUGAGAUCACCUAGCUCUUCCUUUCUUCUCCCUUCUCAGCUAAUUCCGGGGGUCACGAUCGAUCGACUAAUUCCGAUAAAAUAAUGUUUCACCCUUAAAUGAAUCACAAGCCGUUGAUUUCUUCCCAGCAAAUAUAUCGCUUCAAUUUUAUGUAACAAAUUCUUGCUAAAUGUGUGGAUUGGCAGAAGGUGGGAUUCUAAAGCUUCACAACGAUGUCCAGAGUUGUGGGUAUCGAGAUGUUCAGGUGAUGUGGGAGAUACUGCAAAGAUCGGAGCUGGAGCCGUGUCAUUCCCCAGAAAGGAAGCAGCCGGAUGGGAGGGUGUCGGUGCGGGCGGGCCGGACCUGAUCGCGUGGCCCCAUCGAACACGACCGCGGCGUUGAGCCAUGUACCGAGGGAGCUGGACUGCAAGCUGUAAGCCAGCAACUUGGCCACCUGAAAUAAGACCGGAUACCCCAAUGUAUAGUCGUCCUCAAGCUUGAUGUGUACAUGCUACCGAGCAUAAUAAAAAUAAGAGGAAAUUAAGGUGGAAUGCAGCAAGAGCUAGCUUCUAGGGGUUUUUUCUUGUUGGAAUAUAAAGAAUUCUAUCCAUGCGAUUCCCAUUUGUGGCCGUCUUACAAGUUUUUAGCUUUGGGAGAGCCUAUGAACCAUCGCCUAUAUGCUCCGGAAAUAUACUUUCGCCUUCAAUCUUCAUUGCCCAUUGGUGGCGAUAAAGUGGCAUCAAU
rnacentral:lncRNA from 1 species